ensembl:lncRNA
GUCUCUGGCUGCUGUUGACCUUGUUUUUGGAGUAAAACACGGUGGAAGCUGAAUUAGUGAGGAUGACUCCUGCUCCUGUCAUCUCUAAGCUCCUCACACAUCUUUACCUGCACAUGAGGAAAAUCACUCCUGUAGAAUGCAGAUGUUCAGAAGGAGAUGAUGCCGCAUCUGGUCCAGCUGAUGGAAGGUCUUGAAGUUCUCUGACUGGCCUGGACUGAAGAUGAAAACUGUGAUGGUGUUGGAUUGUCAGACCGUAAUGUUGCAGCUCAAAGCAGCUUUUCUAGCUCAGUUCAUUCUGACAUUCAGCUAUGAAUCAACACA